CCUACGGGUGGCAGCAGUGAGGAAUAUUGGGCAAUGGACGCGAGUCUGAACCAGCCACGUAGCGUGAAGGAUGACUGCCCUAUGGGUUGUAAACUUCUUUUAUAAAGGAAUAAAACGAGGCACGUGUGCCUUUGUGCAUGUACUUUAUGAAUAAGCAUCGGCUAACUCCGUUCCAGCAGCCGCGGUAAUACUGAGGAUCCGAGCGUUAUCCGGAUUUAUUGGGUUUAAAGGUAGCGUAGAUGGGUUGUUAAGUCAGUUGUGGAAGUUUGCGGCUCAACCGUAAAAUUGCAAGUGAUACUGGCAGUCUUGAGUACAGUUGAGGUAGGCGGAAUUCGUGGUGUAGCGGUGAAAUGCUUAGAUAUCACGAAGAACCCCGAGUGCGAAGGCAGCUUACUAAACUGUGACUGACAUUGAUGCUCGAAAGUGUGGGUAUCAAACAGGAUUAGAUACCCGGGUAGUC
rnacentral:rRNA from 1 species